AGCUAAUGAAACAUAUGGAUAGGAGAGGGGACCUAGCUUUUAUAUAUAGGAAAUAAUUUGAGCCGUCCCAUUACGACUAGAAUUCUAAUUAGGGUUUAUUUUCGGCCCACAUACUUUAAAUUACCACAUCAAAUUAAUUACAACCCGUAAGGUGUAAAAGACCCAAUUGAUCACUUAAUAAAUUUGGCCCAAACACAAAUAUCAUUAUGAACCAUAUAUAUAACCCGUAAAAUUUUGCAAUCGAAUGUGACGCCCACAUAUGGAAUUAGAUAUUGAUCGCUUAAUGAUUUUCAAACAGAGUUUGUUAGCCCUUUCCCGCUUUCAUGCUCGGCUACAUAUUCAACGGUACUCUUAUCUGUGAGUUUUUCAAGCUUUUUCUUGAUUACAAAAUCCAAGCCCAAAAGAUCAAGUGCUAUUUCUACGUCUCGUUUCCAUUUCACAUAGUUAUUCAAAGACAAGGUUUCAAUAGCAGACAAUUGAUUCGAAAGAGAUGAGGCAUUAUAAUCUGUGGAAACAUAAAAUAUCACUCUUAAUAUCAUCCAAACAUUAUGCAUGCAAUCAAAUGGAUGAUGAAAUAUCCAACUAAUUAAUAUGGGCUAUUAAUUAGAUAAUCCGUAAUUUAAAUCGAAACAUAUGAAUUUUAUUACGGUAAGAGCCUAGGUGCAUCAUCAUAAAGUCACCUUUGGAUCGACAGUACAACUUGCUAUAAGGUACUCUUAAAAUAUAUCAUGUGGCCAGCUAACAAAAUUACAUUAGUUUUCGAAACACUAACACCUUUGGACAGAAGGAAACUUCUAGACCAAGGUAAACUCGUUAACUGUCUUAUGCCAUUUUCCAAAAAUAUUACAUAUAAUAACACCUUUUGACAAUAUAUUAUAUGCAAUAAAUCAAAAAUUGUUGGGCAAAAAUAUAUGUAUUUUUAUUGUAGAGAAAAUCGAACAAAUAAUAAUGAGUGUGUCACUUUGGCAGCUACCACCCAUUUUUAUUUAAAAAUAUUUCUCUCAUAGUGGGAAAAAUAAAAAUCGUUUCAAUGCCCAAAAAAAUUCAAUCACAAAACAAUAAUUAUAUAACAAAUCAUAAUCAUUAAUCAAUCAAUGACAAAAUUUAUGUGAUUUAGAUACAAAAUGGGCAAUAAAUUUCAAUAUAUAUGAAAAAUAAAAUUUAAGCAUACAAAUAAUAAUAACAUUUAAAUGCACAAACAUCUUGAAGAGAAUAUAAAAGUCGUCAAUCAAAUUAUUACUAUACUUUAAUUGGGUCAAAAUUAAAAUUCUAGGGUCAAAAUUUUAAAAGUUCAAAUUAAAAGUCCCUUUUGAAAAUCACAUUUUAACCCCAAAUUUAAAAUUAAAACUAGAUCCUCCAAAAUCUCAAAUUACAAGUAGGCCCUCCUUUUAAAAUUGCAAAUAGACCCUUGAGUGAUUAUUGCAACGGGGGGCUUGAGACUAGACUAAUUACAGUAGGAGCCCCGUCUCCAGCCAUUCAACCUGUUUUGGAGAAAAUCCCAGAUUACUUUUUUUUUCUUUUUUUUUCUUUUUUAAACACUGGGCAGUUUUGGAAAAGCAAUCAAAACUAAAGUAAAUUAUAAAUGAUAAAUUCAAGCAAACAGAGGAAAGUGGAAAUAUUGGAAUGGCUACUGGGUUUCAUUUUGAUAGUAAAACAUUGGGCAAUUAAAUAUUCAAUUGCAAAAAGAAAAACCUGAAUUCUUGGCUUCUUCAAGAUAACAAAAUUUCAAUGAAAAGGAAAUUAUAUAGACAUGUAAACACAUACAGAGAGAGACCUUGAAGAAGUGAGAAAAUUGUGGGUUUCUCUUUCCA
rnacentral:lncRNA from 1 species